UGGGGAAUUUUCUGCAAUGGGCGCAAGCCUGACAGAGCAAUGCCGCGUGAGGGAUGACGGUCUUUGGAUUGUAAACCUCUUUUUUCAAGGAGGAAGUUCUGACGUGUACUUGAAGAAUAAGCAUCGGCUAACUCCGUGCCAGCAGCCGCGGUAAUACGGGGGAUGCAAGUGUUAUCCGGAAUUAUUGGGCGUAAAGCGUCUGUAGGUUGUUUAAUAAGUCCAUUGUUAAAGCUUGAAACUUAACUUCAGAGAUGCAGUGGAAACUAUUAGACUAGAGUAUAAUUGAGGUAGAAGGAAUUUCCAGUGGAGUGGUGAAAUGCGUAGAUAUUGGAAAGAACACCAAUUGCGAA
rnacentral:rRNA from 1 species